rnacentral:rRNA from 1 species
AUUGAACGCUGGCGGAAUGCUUUACACAUGCAAGUCGAACGGCAGCACGGACUUCGGUCUGGUGGCGAGUGGCGAACGGGUGAGUAAUAUAUCGGAACGUGCCCAGUCGUGGGGGAUAACGUAGUGAAAAUUACGCUAAUACCGCAUACGAUCUAUGGAUGAAAGCGGGGGACCUUUGGGCCUCGCGCGAUUGGAGCGGCCGAUAUCUGAUUAGGUAGUUGGUGGGGUAAAGGCUCACCAAGCCAACGAUCUGUAGCUGGUCUGAGAGGACGACCAGCCACACUGGGACUGAGACACGGCCCAGACUCCUACGGGAGGCAGCAGUGGGGAAUUUUGGACAAUGGACGCAAGUCUGAUCCAGCCAUUCCGCGUGCAGGACGAAGGCCUUCGGGUUGUAAACUGCUUUUGUACAGAACGAAAAGGUUUCUACUAAUACUAGGAGCUCAUGACGGUACUGUAAGAAUAAGCACCGGCUAACUAUGUGCCAGCCGCCGCCGUAA